AUUGAACGCUGGCGGCAGGCCUAACACAUGCAAGUCGAGCGGCAGCGGGAAAGUAGCUUGCUACUUUUGCCGGCGAGCGGCGGGCGGGUGGGUAAUGCCUGGGGAUCUGCCCAGUCGAGGGGGAUAACUACUGGAAACGGUAGCUAAUACCGCAUACGCCCUACGGGGGAAAGCAGGGGACCUUCGGGCCUUGCGCGAUUGGAUGAACCCAGGUGGGAUUAGCUAGUUGGUGAGGUAAUGGCUCACCAAGGCGACGAUCCCUAGCUGGUCUGAGAGGAUGAUCAGCCACACUGGAACUGAGACACGGUCCAGACUCCUACGGGAGGCAGCAGUGGGGAAUAUUGCACAAUGGGGGAAACCCUGAUGCAGCCAUGCCGCGUGUGUGAAGAAGGCCUUCGGGUUGUAAAGCACUUUCAGCGAGGAGGAAAGGUUGGUAGCUAAUAACUGCCAGCUGUGACGUUACUCGCAGAAGAAGCACCGGCUAACUCCGUGCCAGCCGCCGCUGUAA
rnacentral:rRNA from 1 species